rnacentral:rRNA from 1 species
AACGAACGCUGGCGGCGUGCUUAACACAUGCAAGUCGAACGAGAAAAUCCUGGCUUGCCAGGAUGAGUAAAGUGGCGCACGGGUGAGUAACACGUGAGUAAUCUGCCCCUAAGUUAGGAAUAACAUUGCGAAAGCGAUGCUAAUACCUGGUAAGCCCACGACUUCUUCGGUAGAUGUGGGAAAAGGUGGCCUCUGACAUAAGCUAUCACUUAGGGAUGAGCUCGCGGACCAUUAGCUUGUUGGUAGGGUAAUGGCCUACCAAGGCGAUGAUGGUUAGCUGGCCUGAGAGGGUGGCCAGCCACACUGGAACUGAGACACGGUCCAGACUCCUACGGGAGGCAGCAGUGGGGAAUCUUGCGCAAUGGGGGAAACCCUGACGCAGCAACGCCGCGUGAGUGACGAAGGCCUUCGGGUCGUAAAGCUCUGUCAGAUGGAAAGAAUUAGUUCGCUGAAAAUAUUGGCGAGUGAUGACGGUACCAUCAGAGGAAGCACCGGCUAACUCCGUGCCAGCAGCCGCGGUAAUACGGAGGGUGCAAGCAUUGUUCGGAAUUAUUGGGCGUAAAGCGCGUGUAGGCGGGAAGGCAGGUCAGGUGUGAAAUCCCUUGGCUUAACCAAGGAACUGCAUCUGAAACCAUUUUCCUCGAGUACGAUAGGGGAGGGCGGAAUUCCCAGUGUAGAGGUGAAAUUCAUAGAUAUUGGGAGGAACACCAGUGGCGAAGGCGACCCUCUGGAUCGAUACUGACGC